UGGGUCGUAUCUGCCUUUAUCACUGUUCACAGAGUUGGAUUGUGGCCAACCCCUUGAUGAGUAUUCUUUUGUUGUUUUCAUGAAAUUUUUGAGGUGAGAAAUCAGUGGUUAAAGAGAGAGCCUAAUAAAUUUUAUAUUUGAAAUGGCUUAGGUUGAUAAGCCUUGCUGUUCUCUUGUUAUCUUAUCAGAAUUAACUGUAUCCAAGAUUGAUGAUUUGGUGAUA